rnacentral:lncRNA from 1 species
GUCAACACCUACGGAGACAUCAAGAUUAAAAUAUCCAGUCCUGCUCCAAAAGAAGACAUUAUCUCUUGUGAUGGCCAUGAAACUAAGAACAACUGUAAUAAUCAUCAUGGCUUUGGUGUGGCUGCAAGCAGCAGUUGUUGACGGGUGCACUCCGAACCUCCACGAGUGUAUCGGUUCACAAGGGUGUUGCUCAAAUUCGCUAUGCGUGGUAGUUCCUUUUGAGGGUGCGAAAUGCAGGGACAAGGAGACAAUCUGCUGGACAGAGCCUGAAGGUGUCCAGCAUUGUCUACAGCCUGCAUGGCCUUUUUAAAGGAAAUUAUCAAUCAGGAUACAAGCUGUAACG